GAUGAAGAGCGUAGCGAAAUGCGAUACUUGGUGUGAAUUGCAGAAUCCCGUGAACCAUCGAGUCUUUGAACGCAAGUUGCGCCCGAAGCCGUCAGGCCGAGGGCACGCCUGCCUGGGCGUCACACGCCGUUGCCCCCCCGCGCCCCGCACCCAACUCUUUGGGAGCGACCGCGGGGCGGGCUGAUGAUGGCCUCCCGUGCGCUCCGCCGCGCGGUUGGCCCAAAUACCGAGUCCCCGGCGACGUGCGCCACGACGAUCGGUGGUUGAGAGACCUCUGUCGCAAGUCGUGCGCGCCCGUCGCGUCACGCGGGCUCGCAUAGCGCCUCGCGCCGCACCCGGUGCGGAGCUUUCAACGCGACCCCAGGUCAGGCGGGGUUACCCGCUGAAUUUAAGCAUAUCAAUAAGCGGAGGA
rnacentral:misc_RNA from 1 species